GGUGGCUGUAUUCGUGGAGAAGGGAACGUCAGUUUAUGUAACAUUGACUUCUCAACACUGGGAUGACUUCCAUGUCUGACUGCCCAGAACUAAACUCGUCAUCUCCACAGAAGGACCUCAGCCAGGCUUCCUGCACCUUCAAAGUAGUCCCAAGUCCAGGAGUAACAACCCUUUGCAUUUGUGCAGCGAUCUCAAGCUUCUUCUUUUUUUUUUUUUUUAAAGCUAAAUCUCACUGUUGUUAUCUGUGGACCAGACGCCGCUAGGGGCAUGACUCAAGCUCUCCGCUUUUCUCUGAGGUACCCAGGGCUUUCGCCCACGGGGCCAGAGAGCCGCACUCAGGGUCCCGGGUGGGUUCCUCUUCCUCACAGGCUGCUUCUGGGACAACGGCCACCUGUACCGGGAGGACCAGCCCUCGCCCGCGCCGGGUCUCCGCUGCCUCAACUGGUUGGCCGCGCAAGGCAGCGGCGAGUCGCUCGCCCAGCCCAGUGAGUGAACGCCGGGGUGACGGGCGGGGUUGGUGGGCGGCGGCCGCGGCCCUUAACGCCUCUUCUCCCCACCCCAGGCCCCGGCAACCACAACUACUGCCGGAACCCGGACCAGGAUCCGCGUGGGCCCUGGUGCUACAUCAGCAGCGAGACUGGCGUCCCUGAAAAGCGGCCCUGCGAGGACUUGCGUUGCCCAGGUACCCGCCCUGGGACCCCUGGGUAGGGGACGUUAGUCCCGUGCGCCGAGCAGCGCAGCAGCGGUUACACCCGCGGCGCACGUGCGGCUGCUCGACCCCGGCCCCGCCCCGUUCCACCCCCGCGCGGUCCGAUUGGUCAGAGCUAUCUCCAGGCCGCGGAGCCCAAAGCCCAUUGGCCGCCGCAGCAUUCGGAGUGAGCUCAUCCUCUGCGAGCACUUGUAAACAACGGUGGGAGGCAGUUCGCUCGUUCCGCAAAGCGCUCCACCAGCCUUUACUGUGUGUAGCGUCCCCAGCUCACAGUCUCAGGGAAGAAGCUGUGUGAGGGACCUGAGUCACCCAGAAGUUUGACCACCUGCCAAAGGCAAUGGGUGUGUUGUGAUUUGAAUUC
rnacentral:lncRNA from 1 species